rnacentral:rRNA from 1 species
CCCGCUGAACUUAAGCAUAUUAAUAAGCGGAGGAAAAGAAACUAACAAGGAUUCCCUGAGUAAUGGCGAAUGAAAAGGGAAAAGCUCAAGAUUGAAUCGGAUGCUCCUAACGGACAUCUCGAGUUGUAAUCUUAAGAAUGUUUGUUCAACCACGUGGACCCGGGCAUAAACCUUUGGAAUAAAGGUGUUCAUAGAGGGUGAGAAUCCUGUCUAUGACUCGGUGUUCGCUGUGUUUGACCAGAUGUUCGACGAGUAGAUUAGGGUGGUAUCCCUGGUCGAAUAAAGGUGGUAAUCCUCAUCUAAAGCUAAAUACCAGCCAGAGACCGAUAGUUCACAAGUACCGUGAGGGAAAGGUGAAAAGAACUUUGAAAAGAGAGUUAAACUGUAUCUGAAAUUGCUAAGAGGUAACCGGCGGAAACCAGCCAUAUUUCUUAGGUUUACUUUACUAUCUUUGCGAGUGGUCAAGGUUUUAAGCUGCGUUUCGUAAGGGACGUAGCAUAGGAUCUUGGACAUUCGUUGGUGGGAUUGUAGGCUUGAGAAGCGUCAGAAUCAGUUCUCUCUUGCCGGAGAAGACUGGAGGAAAGGUAGGAAGCGGGGGGUUCUUCUUCCCGUUUCAACUUAUAGUCCUCCAUGUUCCUUUACGGUGAGGUGGGAUUGAGGUCCGAAAAUGUCCGAUAAGGCACCCUUUAUUGGAUAGAAGCCCUUGGUCCGCUUUUGCUCUUUGAUUGGAACAAUUAAACGUUGUGUCAGUUGAAGAGUGGAGUGCUACUGGGGAUACUUCAUUCGUGUCCUUCGCGAUUUUGACUUAAUGGUUUCUACCGACCCGUCUUGAAACACGG